CGACGUGAGUAACCUGCCUUGGAGUGGGGAAUAACACAGUGAAAACUAGUGCUAAUACCGCAUAAUGCAUUUGGGUCGCAUGAUUCUGAAUGCCAAAGAUUUAUCGCUCUGAGAUGGACCCGCGUCUGAUUAGCUAGUUGGCGGGGUAACGGCCCACCAAGGCGACGAUCAGUAGCCGGACUGAGAGGUUGGCCGGCCACAUUGGGACUGAGACACGGCCCAG
rnacentral:rRNA from 1 species